GUGGUUACUCUUCCCUCCCUGUGCGAGAGUCAGGAGAUCUUUUUGGUUCAUCCUGAGAAUCUUGUGGAGUUGCUGGAAGUAAGACUCAGAAGCACAUCAGGACCCCUAAGACUGUGACCCCCAGGAGUUUCUCACUCUCUAAUUAGUUCACAUUCACCUCCAGAAAUUCAUCAAAAUUAUCAUUUUACUGUUUUUACCAGUUGUUGACUCCAGCAGCUUCUGCUUCAGGUAUUUUUUUAAACCAGCGUGAAUAGACUAUGACCACAACUCAAGUAAAUCUUACUGCUGCUCACUUUUUGGGUCCACACUGCGUUUAUUAGCUGCAACGCUCACCGCUAUGGUCUGCAGCUUCACUCCUGAAGCCAGCGAGACCACGAACCCACCAGAAUGAAGAAACUCCGAACACAUCCAAACAUCAGAAGGAACAAACUCCGGACAGGCGGCCUUUAAGAACUGUAACACUCACCUCGAGGGUCUGCGGCUUCAUUCUUGAAGUCAGUGAGACCAAGAACCCACCAAUUCCGGACACAAUGUUACUCCAGAUAAUCAGCGCCAUUUUCUGAAGCUUGAGAUGCAGGAAAAGAGGAGUGCUAUCCAUUAGAUGGAGACAGGAAGUAGAAAAAGAGCUUAAAGUUUUGGCUUGUGUUACUUCCUUGGGGAGAUCUUGCUGGACCACAUCAGGAAUAGGAGGGGUGUGUCCCCACAGCACUGUGUACACGAAACUAUAAGUCUUCAAAGUACUGUCCCAUCUACCCAUUCCUCAGCCCAGCCCUGCAACUUGAACAGGAAGGUCCAUUGCCUGGUAAGUCAAGAGCAGAGCCAGGGGAACUAGAAUCUUCAAUUUCUUGGUUCCCACUGCAGGGCUCUAUGAGUGACACUAUGUUAUACGUAUCUUGUCCCUUUCAUAUCUCUGGUGCUGUAAGGAAGUACCUUCAGGUACUCCAGAUCCUGGGUACCUUCUGUAUCCUCCUUAACAUAAAGUCACUUAACAUAGGACUGAGAUUGAGUGUAUUUCUUUUCAUAAAGAGGUGUGGCUUGAAUUCCUGUGCUGACCACUCCUGACUUGUGUGACCUUGAGCCAAGUUACCUAACCCUUUAGACUUUAAAUCAUCUGAGAAAUAGGGCCAUAAGUUUGGAGAAGUCCUACCUUUGUACAAAAUAACUGGGGCGAUGUUUCGGCACUUACUGGGUACACAAAAUACCUGGUACUUACUAGGUGCUCAGUAGAUGUGAGUUUACUUUCCUUUAUCCUUUGAAGAGCUGUACCUGUGUCCAGGGUUAACCUCACUCCAUCAGGACCUAGACAUCCCUACAAAAUUAGGGAUUUUACUUCCCUUUGUGGUAAUUAACUAUAUAUUGUACAUUCUAUAUCCAAAGUCACAGAGCAGAUCCACAGUUUUCAAACUGGGUUCGAAGAAGCCCUGAGGUCCUGCGAGGCGGUUCAAGGGUGAUGGAUGUCAGUGGUCAGGCCUUCAGACCACCCCCUCCCAAUUCAACAAAGGCAGAAUCUCUUUUAUAUCUUUUAUAUGUUGGGCUCUCAAGUAGAAUUUCAUUUUAAGAAUGAAAUUGAGUGUUGAAAAUAGAAAAUUGCAAACCUCUGUUGGAGAGUAAUAGAAAGUUUAAUGUGUGAUCUUUGCAUUGCAAACCAGGUUGCUUUCUCCCUUAUGUCUCUUCCCUCCUCGUCUUUUUUUUUUUUUUUUUUUUUUUUGAGAAGGAGUCUUGCUCUGUCCAGCAGUGGUGCCAUCUUGGCUCACUGCAACCUCCACCUCCCAGGUUCAAGCAAUUCUCCUGCCUCAGCCUCCUGAGUAGCUGAGAUUACAGGCACAUGCCACCACCCUCAACUAAUUCUUGUAUUUUUAGUAGAGGUGGGGUUUCACCAUGCUGGUCAGGCUGAUCUCGAACUCCUGACCUUGUGAUCUGCCUGCCUCGGCCUCCCGAAGUGCUGGGAUUACAGACAUGAGCCACCACGCCCAGCCCCUCCUGGUCUCCUUAAUGACAAAAGCCCAGCUUCUACCCUGCUCACUGCCCCACCCCCAACAUUCAGACCAGUCACAAGAAGGAAAACCAGUUAACAAGGACCUGGAGAAGCUACAACGUACUUGGACUUCCAGUCUUUAAAUGGACCGUUUUUGUCUCAGCCUGGCUAGGAAGUCUUGGCUGAUGUGGUCUAGAGACAGGAAAGCAAGGUAAUUUGGGGCCUAAAAUGACAAAAUGAGGGCAGAGAAAAGUGUUGAAAAUGAAUGACUGCGGAAAGGAAAGAAAUAUUCUGACAUGCUCCUCUUCCUAUCUGACACCCAGUGAGAUGGAGAACACGUUGACUUUGGAGCCAAGAAAGCUGAGUUCAAAUUCUGAGCCUGCCCAAUGUGUAACUAUGUGAUCUUGAACAAGCCAUUAACUCCUUCCAGUCUUAUUUCCUCAUCUACAGAAUGGGAAUAGUAUUGCUGUCACAGGACUAAUAUGAGUGUAUAUCACAUGUAUGUAAAAAGCAUAUGUGAGAUAUUGAAUGAAAAACAAUUGAUGCCUGCUAGAUGUCACUGAAUAAACAUCAGUCCCCCUUCUCCAUCCAGCUACCAUAUUUUCCAGCCCAUACAUUGAGACACUGGGUUAUGGUAAAUAUUGAAUUAAAUGAUGUAAAUCAAUUCCUAAUGCAACUCCUGGCACACAGUAGGUGUUUAAUAAAUGCUAUCUUCUCCACAAGCUUCCCUCCUUCUGCACAACAUAUUUGCAGCAACUGCCAUCCUGAUCACCUCAUGCUUGGGUUACUAACUCAGCCCCCCUAGUGGGGUCCCCUGUCCCAGAGCCCUGUUCCUGUCUCCCUGGCAUGUGCAGUCACCCUAAUCUUCCCCUAAACAAAUGAACAAAGCAAGACAAAUGGCAAAGCUCCACUAACAACAAGCUAUUCAGUUCCAGCAUUAUCUGAUUUAAUUCUCCAUUUUUGUUUCAGAUCAAUCUGUAAGAUCAGUGUUAAUAGCUCUCCCUACCCCUUGUAAUGAUAAUCUCAGGCUCAAAGAAGUAAGCAAUUUCAGCUCCUCACCUUUGUGGGGGCGUAGCUAAGGUGUGAGAUCCCAUCAGAUCUGUCUGCAACCAAAGACUCUUCUGCAACAUUAACUGUUCUCUGAAGUGGUCUGGCUGGGCACUGAGAGUGGAGAGACCUGGAUUCUAGCGCUGGCUCACCAUUGGUUCAUGGCGCAUGAGCCCAUUUCCUCCUCUAAAAAUGAGGAGAGUCCCUUCCUUUCUUACCCCAUAUGUCUGCACUCAGGUUUCAGGGCCAAUUUCAGAUGGGCCAUAUGCUCUCUGUCCUCUGUACCUUUGCCCAAGCUGUCGCCUGCUCCUCAGUCACCUCCCUCAUUGCCCUGUGUCUACCUGUUUAAGAAUUAAGCUCUAAGAUUCUACUCUAUCAUCCCUCACCUCCUUCAGAAAGCCUUCCUAGACCAGCCCAGGCAGAAUCAGGUGCUCCUCCUCUAGGCUUUCAUAGCCCUGCAUCUAAACCACAACUGUGACCUUUUUUUCCUGGUAUAUACCUUUGAUUAUAGGACUGUCUCCUAGUAGAUAGACUGGGAGCUCUCGUUUAUCUCAUUUAUCUUUAUACCCAUGUCUGUCACAGAAUAAUUGCUCAGAUAAUACUUGUGGAAUGAAUGCAUUAAUGAAUGAAUGAAGAGAGAGAGCAAGGGAGAUCGAAAGAGCAUCAUUGAAUGAGUUCAGGGUUUUGUUCGGUCCCAGCUUCAGAGUCCAUUUCUUAAGAAUAAUUAAUUCUUGCAGUUCUUCCACUGCUGACGUUGUGCCUCCAUGGGGGUCAAUGGCCCUAUGCCCUAGCAUCUUAUCCCUAUACCAUGUAAUCUGGGUCUGAUGCUGGAAUUUGGGCUUAGAGCUUGGCUCCAAGUCUCUGUGACAGGGCUCUGCCCUGCCUCCAGCCCCCAUCCAGGACAUGGGCCCUCUCUUACCCUGGCCAGCCUGUUUCAGGCCAAGGAACUCCAUUCCUCUCCCCAGCUCCUGUUCUCUCCCUCUCACCUGCUUCCCUGGCUGGUGAUAGGGCCUGCCUCCUGCCCAUCAGGGCUUCUUAGAUUACAACUAUCAGCCUAAUUUCCCCACUUCUGUGUCCCACCCACUUACUAGGUCAGCCUUCCCACUAUAGUUGGGAGAUGGUGACAUCCUCAUGUGUCAGGCUUUUCCUGAUAUCGGGAGCCCCUCAUGUCAGCUCCUAUCCCUGGGUCAGAUGCCCUGACAUAUGCCCAGCCCUUCAGACAGCUCCAGGUCAGUGUCCAAUCCCUUUCUGCCUGCCAGGGAGCAUCUGGACAUGCCUAGCCAAAUCCUGAGAUGGGCUGGGAGGAGGCAGUCAGCCCUGGAGAUCAUUUCCAGUGAAGGCCCAGCCUGCAGGUGGGCACACAUGGUGGGUGUUCAGGUUUGAGGAGGCCUUGGAAAAUGAAAGAUCGCAUGUGGUGCAAACCUCAGGCUAUGUGCCUUUGGACAACUCAUUUUAUCCCUCUGUGCCAAAGAGUUUUUGUUUGCAAAUUGGAGAUAAGAACACAUAAUAGCUACCUCAGAGGACUGUUGUGAAGAAUAAAUAGGAUAAUGCAUAUCAACCUCAAGGCCUGGUACAUGAUGAGCCCUCAGUAAACGUGAGCCCUUUUCCAUGUCACUAUAGCUGUUGUCAUUAUUGCUCUUGUUGCUGCUAUUGUCAUUAAGAAGAGUGGGCUGCAUCCUCAGGUACAUCUCCUGUGCUGUUUCUUUUCCUCAAACCACUCAUUAAUAUUCUGAAGACUAAGUCAGGGAGGCAGUAGCAACACACCAGGCUUAAAAUUAAUCAAGUUCCCUUCAGUCCAAAUGAACUUUUCUCACCGAUUCUCAGAUCUUCGGCAUCUUGCUACUGGGUGCAUUUUUUCUACAUAAUGAAGUUUGGGCAGUGCUGGCUCCUGCCUAGUCCCUGACUGUGACCUCCAUGCAGUCACAGCUGUUCUCAGGCGCUGCGCUUCAAGUUCCCCACCCCACAUCGUCUGGCUGCCUUCUCAUCUGGGGUGAUGCGACCCCAGCAGAUUAAUAUGAUGUCCUUGUAAUUCUGCAUCCAAGACACAUGUCACUUUCCUUCAACACAUUUGGAAGGAGGGCAAGUUCUACUUUGUAAGGACCGUCACUUAUUUUGAACUGGAAGAAAAUAAUUUAUUUGGUCAAAAGUUGUUGUGCUUUUCCAUUAAGGGCACAUAUUACCCUUUUGUAAUUGGAAAUGGGGCCAUUUAGAUCCCACAUCGUCUAAUCUCCAAAGUCACUCCAGCACAGGGCUUUCUUCCUCAUUUGAUUUCAAUCAAUCAGUGAAUCCAACAACGAAGAAAAUGCAUUCAAAAAUUAACCAUACCAAGUGAAAGCAGAGGAACGUAUGUUAGCAGGAGUCUCCCAACUCAGGUGUUUCUGUAAGAACCAUUAAAAUACCCCUUAUCUGAGUGGAAAUUCAUUUCUUUCUACUAUAGGAAGACUCCAAGACACUCACUCUAAGACUUGGGCCUGGAUCUAUGUGCAGAAACCCUGCUGAACUUUGCAGUGUCACCCGCCACCCAACUAAGAGGGUCUCCCAGGAUUGUUUUCUAGUUCCCAGUCUGGGCUGUCUGACAUGGCACCCCAACCUGGGUACACAUCUUAGAGGCUCGGCUUUUUGUCAGUGGCAAACUGGAAAUUUCACCACUUAAAUGGAACCACGAAAUCUUAGGCCUUGGGAGAGUAUGUCUGCAGGGCCAUCUUGGUGUGCACCUCUCACUGACCAUUUUCAACAGAUGCCAGAUUCUUGGAUCUGGGAGGGUGGCCCUAGUCCCCAUCUUCAGGCUGUGUUAAAUGGUGAGCUUGAAGGCCAAAGAAAACUGCUUCAGACUUUGAUACCUUAUCAGUAUGACUCAGGGAAGAGAGAGGUUAAGUAACUUGCUCAGAAUCACACAGGUAGUAACUAGCAAAAUUGGACUUUGAAUCCAGGUUUGCAUGACUUUAUAUUAUGCUUUUCUGCAAUGCUGCUGCCUGGAAGGCAGGCUUAGUGCUGCUGAGAUCCUGGUAGAUAUCUGCUUUCCCCAAAGCGGUGAACUUUGCAGGCUACCGCCAGAUCUAUGCCAUCUGCUCACUUCCGAGGGGCUUCUUCAAAUCCCACCAGGUGACCUUAAUGUCCCAAAAUAUUCUUGACACUGAAGCACUCACUUGCAAAGAAAAGCUGGACCCCAACCCCUGUAUUGGACAGACCCUACAGGAAGUUUCCUUAAUAGCCUAAGGAGCAGAGACAGAAAAUGAAAAAUCACUAAGGUAGUGGUAGGCUUACAUCCCAGGGAGGGAGUGCCAUGGCGCACACCUCCUGCAUGGGCUAGGGUUCGCAUUUGUGUUUAAUAACAACUUUGAUCUCUCUGCCAGCAGCAGCGGUCAUUGAGAAAUCCUGACAUAAAGAAGGAAAUGCAGAUGAUAACUCCUGCCUCCAGACCCCUCUCUGAGAUGAUUCUGAGACACAUAUAAAUGGGCUUUGCAAACUGUGGGCAGUAGAUGUGAGAACUCUUCAUCUUCCAGACAGGAUCCAAGGUCCUUUGGAAGGGACAGUGAGCGGACUGCAUCCUGCUUGCAUGAAGACCCUGAUUCCCUCAAAUGUUGAAAGAGGUUGAAUUUACAAAUAAAUUAAGAAAUUAAGAGCAAAUGAAGAGGAAGGAAUGGUUAUUAACCGUGUGCCAUAGAUCUUUGCAUUAGUAAGCCUUAUGGUCCUUGUUUAAUAGAUGAUGAAACUGGGACUAAGAGAAGUGAAGUAAUCAACUCAAGAUCACAAAAUGAACGGGACAACCAGGUUUCAAACUUAGGUUUAUUCUGACACCAAAGCUUCCAUAUUUUUUUCCAUUCUAGAAUGUUAGAAGCAGUGGACACUCUGGAGUGUUCCCACAUGCUAAGCACUACGCUCGGUGCUCUAUAAGCAUUCUCUCUCUCAAUCCUCACGCCACACCUGGGCAAUCACGAUUACCUUCAUGCAAGGUGAGAAGUGCUGAAAGUUAUAAUUCCUUGCAGGGGAGGGAUUGAAUGUGCUUCCCGUGGAAGGCUGUGGUCUAGCAGUGCCUUUGGUUGGAGGGAGCAGGAAGCUUCAAGCUCUGCCUGGGGCCACUUCUCCCGCAGUUGAGAAUUAAGGGUUAGCACCUGGAAUUUGACUUAGAAAUGGGAUUGGUAAUUGUCUCAUUCCUCUUUACAGGGGUCAUCCCCAUCUACCUCACUCUGCCCUCUACUCCAGCCCUGCUCUCUUUGGCCCCUCUUUCAGUUGUUCUUUCUUCUCUCCAUCUGCCAUUCUCUUCUACAUUCCUUUUUCAACCAAGUAGUCACUCUUUAUCGCAGCAUUUCUCCUAGUGACCCUCCCUGGUGCCACUGAGGUGAGGGCCAGCCACAUGCCUGGCUUAGGGUCACUGUUUUCUUUGUAGGCAUCCUCUCCAGCACCUCCCUCCACCCACUUUCUGGCUAACUCCUAUUCUUCGCUGAGGUUUCUGCUUAAAUGUUACUUCUUCAGACCAUGCCUGACACAUCUGACUGGAUCAGGCCAUCUGCGUGUACACUCUCUAAUCAUUUUGCAUUUCCCCAUUACUUUUCACAAUUAUAAUUAAGUGAUUGUUUGUAAAACUUAUUUGUUUGCUAUCUAUGUUUCCUGCUAGACUACAAGCUCCAGGAGGGGAGGAGCCACAUCUGCCUUACUCAUUGCUGCAUCUUCCAUUCCCAGUAGAGCUCAGGGUCAGUCCUCUCAACCUCACACCAUGGCAGUGUUCCUCCCCUUCUAGGCAAAAGGCCAGACAGCCUCCUGACUUCACACCCUAGUCCCAUUUGUAAUUGUGCCAAGUAUCACCAAGUGUCAUACAAGUGUCACAGAGUCUAGUUAGGAGAGAUUCUGGUGGCAGCCUUCCCCUUUGCCCUUUGGAGAGUGAAGUUGCACAUUCCCACCUUGUGAGAGGUGAAGAAAGAGCCAACAGCCUAGCCUGCUUCUACGUCUCGACAACUCUGAGAUAUGGAGGCAUAGGAAGCUCUGGGAUCCUGGAAGAAAAUGUAAAAGAGAAAUUGGGACCCCAGGACAAGAAGUCCAAGAGAAAUGGCAGAAGACUCCUACGCAAUCUCUGUCACCACCGUAGGGGCAAAGGCAGAGCAAUUGGGACCAAUGACCCCAACUAGGAACAUAGCCUGGAAGCAGAUCCUCAAACACAGCCUGCAUCUCUCCCUGCUCCCCUCCCACCCUCCAGUUUUCCAGCCAGAGGCAUUUGCUCUAAGGCCCAGGCUGUGGCCCACCUAUCACCGCUACCCAAGUAGUACAGGAAAAGGAAAUUUGAAGAGGAAAAGAGGCACCAGGGAUGAGGACACACCGAGAAAAGACCAUGUGAAGACAUGGCGAGAAGACAGCCAGCUGCAAGCCAAGGAGUGAGGCCUCAGAAGAAACCAACCCUGCCGACACCUUGACCUUGGACUUCUAGUCUCUAGAAUUAUGCGAAAAUAAAUUCCUGUUGUUUAAGCCACCCACUCUGUAGUAUUUUGUUAUGGCAGCCCCAAGCAAACUAAUACAGUAUCCUUGAAGAAAGAAGAAUUAUAAAACCUAACAGUUAAGGGGCAGUUAAUUGACAUAUUAAUAAUUCAUUUAGUCUUCUCUUCACAGAAACUCUCUAUAGGAGUUAUUACCAUUUAUCACCAUUUUACAGAGGAGAAAACUGAGGCACAAGAGGUCAAGUAACCUGCUUCAAAGUCAUAACUAGUAAGUGACAGAGGCAGUUUCUUCACUCUCAGUCCUCUAAAAAGCAAAGCCCAAGGUUAAAGUGCUGACAUUUAGU
rnacentral:lncRNA from 1 species